CCUACGGGAGGCAGCAGUGAGGAAUAUUGGUCAAUGGCCGGAAGGCUGAACCAGCCAAGCCGCGUGAAGGACGAAGGUGCCAAGCAUUGUAAACUCCUUUUGUCAAGGGACAAAAUCAGGCUCGAGAGCAUGACUGAGGGUACUUGAAGAACAAGCAUCGGCUAACACCGGGCCAGCAGCCGCGGUAAUACGGAGGAUGCGAGCGUUAUCCGGAUUUAUUGGGGUAAAGGGGAGGGUAGGCGGACAGUUAAGUCAGCGGUAAAAGCCCGGGGCUCAACCCCGGCGAGCCGUUGAAACUGGCUGUCUUGAGAUGUCGAGAGGUAUGCGGAAUGCGCAGUGUAGCGGUGAAAUGCGUAGAUAUUGCGCAGAA
rnacentral:rRNA from 1 species